rnacentral:rRNA from 1 species
AGUCGAACGGGAUCCAGGCAGCUUGCUGCCUGGUGAGAGUGGCGAACGGGUGAGUAAUGCGUGACCGACCUGCCCCAUGCACCGGAAUAGCUCCUGGAAACGGGUGGUAAUGCCGGAUGCUCCAUCACACCGCAUGGUGUGUUGGGAAAGCCUUUGCGGCAUGGGAUGGGGUCGCGUCCUAUCAGCUUGAUGGCGGGGUAACGGCCCACCAUGGCUUCGACGGGUAGCCGGCCUGAGAGGGCGACCGGCCACAUUGGGACUGAGAUACGGCCCAGACUCCUACGGGAGGCAGCAGUGGGGAAUAUUGCACAAUGGGCGCAAGCCUGAUGCAGCGACGCCGCGUGAGGGAUGGAGGCCUUCGGGUUGUAAACCUCUUUUGUUAGGGAGCAAGGCAUUUUGUGUUGAGUGUACCUUUCGAAUAAGCACCGGCUAACUACGUGCCAGCAGCCGCGGUAAUAC